GUGCCUAGGAGGACCAAUAUAUUGUGUAUCUAAUCAGUUGAGAGAUGUAAACAGCAUACUUGGAAUUAAUAAAAAGCAAUGAUUAGACUCCAAGACCUUUAGCAAAAAUUGACUGUGUGGUACAGAGAACGUAUCGCUUUUCAGUGAAGAUAUACACUUUAUCUCACCGGGUUCUAGUUGUCUUUUGUAUUUAUUAACAUACUCAGUAAACUCCUAUACUGCCAGCCUGAGAAAUCUGUGAGGAUCUGGGUUAGAAUAGGUCCUCAGUACCCCUUGCUUGUAAGAGGCGACUGAAUAGAGUGGUCCUUCGGUGAGACAACAACAACCAAGGCCCCUUGUCACAGUAGGCGUGACACGAUAAAGAUCCCUUCCUUCUUAAUGUCCGUGUGCGCAAAGCAAAUGCCUAAACUUUACAGUCCUUCACCGGCAUUGGUAACGUCUCCAUAUGAUAUAUGAGUUAACAAUUCUCCAGUGGGACGCUAAACAAUAUAAGAUCAAACGAAACGCAGUUAUAGGAUCUAGCAUACUGUAAUUGCCUUUUAAAUCUUUGGAUAUGCAAUGAAAGAACUGGGUUAACAACUUUAUUUCAAUAUGAUCCACCGUACUCCUAUUUACAGUUAUAGAUGUAAAUGAAUAUACUGAGAUGUAUUGUCUCCUUAUGCUUAGCAAAUAAAUCUGUUGUUCUUACUCGCACGAUAAUCAUAAUUUGAAGCAUACAACUUUGCACCGGGAGGAGACCGCAUCUAUUUUUACCGUUUUUCAUUGCAUUUAUGGUGUUGAAAAAAAAUGCGUUGGUGGUUAACAUUUUGUUUUACGUCCCAUCGACCAUUUUAUCACUCAUUAUUCAACGGCUGUAUGUGAAGUAACACAACUUGAGCCAUUUGAUUAACGUUAGUUCAGGGGCGUAACAGUAUGGGUUAAUUAACGUGUCAACGGCUGGCACGACACAGGAAUUCCCUUGUUAAGAUCAUAUCCAAAAGACCCGUGGUUCUUACUUUCAUAUAUCGAGUGAUUUGGUAAGGAUCCAAUCCUUACAUAUGCUUUUAUUUUGGGUUUGACACGGCCAUGGCUCCAGCAGGGCUCGAACAAAGCGAACGCACCACCACUGAAUUAUUACGACGGAUGUAGUUUACAAAAUUCAAAUCUAUUACACAAAUCCCAUAAUUAAACAUUUUGUUUACAUUACGAUAAACGAUUGUCUAAGGCUCUACUGGGAUCUACCACUACAAUCUCUCGACAAUAACAAAUGCACUGCAUUAUGCAGUAUAGCAUGUUGACGAGAUUUGGAGGUCACUCAGAUUUCAGAGGUUGUUAUACUGUAAAAUGCAGUGCAUUUCUUAUUGUUCAGAAAUUCUAGUGAUUCACUUUAACAUAGUCUACUGUGGAGAUUAUAACAUGUAUUUACUAUUGUUAUUCAAGAUCUUACAUUUCUGGUGCAUCAAUUGUUUAUUAGAUGGAAAGGUGAAGAUAACGGACAAUUCACGGCGGUUGUGACCUGUCAACAGAAAAUUAUUACUCCUCUUAGGCACCUGAUCCCAUUCCUCUUAUGUCCAGGGGUCCGUGUUUGCUCAACUACUUUUUUGUGUUUCUUAAAAGGGUUAUGAUAUUGAUCACUGUUCUUUGUUUUCGCCUUCUAAAUUCUGUAUCAUAAGAAUAUAAAAACAGGUCAGCUAUUAAAGGAGCACAAUUCGUGCCCAAUGGAAUUCCGACAGAAAUAAAAGGAAAUCUAAAAAUAUAGCUGUAACUGCAAGCAUACGAUAUAAAAGAAUGCUCAAAAGUAUUGCGGGAAAAUCCAGUGAGGGAUACAUAUUAUGAGGGUAUGAUUUGUGACGCUUCACGCCAGUGUACUUCACGUUAGCUCUAUAUGAAAAGUAUGCUGGUGUGAAGCAUUAGAGCCCAUACUCUUCUGUAUUGUCAAACAUGUUUAUGUCUUCUAUUAACAUUCUACUUUCAUUUUUGUCGGAAUUCACAAGCGUUGGAAUAGACACAUUAUUUCUAUCAGGAUGCAUACGCACAAGUUUGUAGCUACAGCGCAAUCAUGAUCAAGGAUAUGGCCAUUACAAUUGUAAAGAUAUCAAUUAAAGUACUCAGAAAGAAAUCUAAUUCAAAAUAAUGAUCUCCAUAAGUUUACCAUAAUAGAGGCACAAAUCGGAAAACACCGCAUCGUCAUACUUUUUUUUUUUUUUACUGUCAAUAGGCCUAUUUAGAAUUGUCUGUUCGUUUCACUGGAUUCGAUCAUAUGAUUGACCCACUUCAUGAAUUUAUCUAUUUCUUAACUAUUUCCUGGUUUGUAAAAUUGAAGUUGAUUUAUUUAUUUUCCGCCACAUUUUCCAAUGUUUAAAACUUCCUUCUCCUCUUUAGAAUAAAGUACAUUCAUAGAUUUGCAGUUCAAUGUAGGAUUCUAGCACUGUAUUCCACGCAACAAUCUGGUUGGGUUUUCUUCGCAUAUAAACACAUAACUUUACCCAACGUGCUUCCACUGUCAGGCUAGCUGUCUGUCUUAGAGAAUAAUACUUUAACUAUCAGCCACCUGAAUCCCAUUCUUCGUUUUUCGGUUUUGAGGAAAACUGAAAAGAACAUUUUUGAAUUAAGCAUGAUGCUUAUCACAAAGAAUGAAUUGAUGACCCUUGAUUAUUUUAUUGAUGAGUCAAGAUAACAGGCAUCUCAUAAACCCUGUAGAUAAUACAGAAAUCAGAGUAUGGUAAAACGGAUCCUUAUACAUCCAGAUAGGAGGAGUAACAUCCUCCGAUGAUCGGUGACACUCACCCUAAGUAUUGAUCAGGCAAACGAAGCAAUCCGUAGUCAAAAUUAGUAUGUAAAGAACGGCUUAACAAUUGGUAUAAAACAUGUCAGACAGCAUUUGACCCAAUAUCCGAUUGUAUGAAUAGUGACUAUUCUGAUUAAGUCAUAUAAAGAAUACAAAAUCGAUAAUAAGACAAACUCAGGCCCCUGGGAAACAAGUAUCUAGAAGGGGUAAACAUCCCGUAUUUUGAUUUUAUCUAAAUUGCCAAUACCUUUGAAAAGCACAUGGGGUUGUAUACAGAUUUAAUUUGCGGUAGAUAAUGAACGUUGCUAAUAGGGAAAUGUGCUUGUAAUUUGCAUCCGAUGUUGGGUUUUUUUCUCUCGUAAAAACGUCCGUAUUUGCAAAUUGCUGUAUUUUUUCACCAGGGAAAAUGAGAGUGUUGAACAUUGUCGUUUUGUUUCUUAGACAUUUCCAAUAUCUUGUUUUCUGUGAUAGAGAGUACAAAAGGUGGAUGGUGUUUAUCUUACAUUAAUCUUUUCUAGAUAUUGAUAAUUUAAAACAAAAACGUAUUUAAAAUGUUCAGAAUUUGAUUCUAUUGAAUCCGUUUGAUUUAGCACAUCCUGUUAUAAGCAUUACAGGCUUGAUAGUGUGUGUUAGAAACGGAUAGCCAAAUUGUAGGUUGCCCAUUGAUUUCUUCCUGUUAUUCAGAAAAUAAGAAUUCUAUGAAUCAUAUUUUUGUAGGCCGGAUGGUAUCCCUUGUUGCUACAAUGAAUACUUGGACGAAAUCAGCAAGCAAUGCAAAGGUCUUACACGGCUAUUACUUCAUGGUUAUUCAUAAAUUCAUAUUGAUCCAUAUAAAUAUAUUGACCAAUUUUUUUUUCUCAUUCGUUUUUAACACAACAUAGAGAACAUAUUAAACAAGCAUUCAAAAACAAUAUUCACGUAUGUACAAGUAAUUCAUAUCAAUAGAUAUCACAAUAUUGAUAAUGAAUAAAUACAAUAAUAGACUAUAUACAUUUAACCAGGAGGAUUUAAUCUCUCAGCAAUUAAUUGUAUAUAUUUACACAAUCUUAAAUUUUUUUUUUCAUUUUUGGUUACAAAUAGAUUAUGAAAUUUUAUCACAUUAGGUCUAGUAUGAAAUAUCUCUGGUACAUAAUGUCGCCUAAUAUUAUUUAAAACAAGACACAUAAGAAUAUAAAUGCAUCUUAUCUCCAAUAUCAGAACUGCAAAUAUUACUUUUUUUUUUAUCUAUAUCUAGCCACCUUCCCGUUUCUAUGGGUAAUUUAUGAUUUGUGGUUCUAAACCUGGUUAAUAUACGUUGUUUAUGUAUUGAAAUAUUUGACAAUAUAUAUUCUUGACAUUUAAAAGUAAGAUUUGUAAAAUUCUGUAUAUUAUACCUUCAGAAGAUUCGUUAUAUUGAGAUACCUUUCGAUCUUUGUUUAAGAUGACAGAUAAUCCAGUUAGUAUUCAUUUUGACAGCAUUAUACAAAGCAUUAGACAUUCCACAGUCAUCUGAUAUUUUCUUUAAAUUCAAAAUCCAUUUUGGUUCACACCCCUUGUGAAAUUUAUGAACACGAGAUUUAUAUCACAAAUAACAAUAUUUUCAUUUUUCCCAUGCAUCACCCGACAACAAAAACUAACAAUUCCUGAUUUGAUAUGUAAACAUAAUGGUGGUCGACCUAUAUCACGAUAAAUCAUAUAAUUUGGAGUUGAUGACUUGACAUGUAAUAAUAAUUUACAAAAUUUUAAGAGUAUAUUUUCAAUAAUGUCAUUGCUUCCAAAACCCCGUUCACAUCCAUAUAGAAGGAUAAGAACAACAAUUGUAUCAAAUACACUGUAAGUGUACAUGAUCUUCUAUUGAAAGAUUAAGAUCACGACCUCUGAUUAUAAUAUCAUAUAGUGAUUGAUCAUGAUAUCUGCUUUUUUGUUAUGACGUAAGCAUGCGAGCCUGGUUUGAUUGGCUGGAAGUGUGAAGAACCGUGCAAAGAAAGGAUAUUAUGGAGUGUUGUGCCGCUUGCCCUGUUUAUGUAGUCCCAAUAACUGCGACCCAGAAGUUGGAUGACCAACAACAACGAAUGAACACACAACACCGAGUAUUCAAUUCAACUGGAGAAUGUCAAAAGGGUUUGCUGACACUGUCAAAUAUUCGGCCCCAACCCUCUCCAUUGAAAUAAAUGGAGAACUUACAGCGGAACAGGAACUUACAACAGGAUAUGCAGGAACAAGAACUCAAAAGUUGCAUCAAGGUUCUCGGAAGUACUCAACCAUUCACAAAGAGAUGUUAACAAACAACGAACAAAAGACCACCAGCACAGUCGUGCAAUGGCAUAGUCAAAGGUCUGAAUCUGAUACAUUUGGAUUUAUCAAAAUUACUAGAAAGCAACGUUAAACAGCAAACCCAACAAGCACGUAUGUCAUUAGACAGAGCGACAGCAGAGACAUUUUGCAGCAUAUUUCAGAAUACAUGGAGUUAAUCAGCAUCUCUUUGUUUCUGAUUGUAGGCAGUGUCGUCACUCUUAUUCUACUACUGUUAUAUACCUGAAGCAGUUCAACACAGGCCAGAUGUAUUGUCGACAACUGCGUGGGACGCUGGAGCGUGGGUACAUGUCAUUGUCCAGCAGGGAACGUCUGCCAAGAAGUGGAAGACAGUCUGACUAUGUGACGCAAAACAGCCUCGACAUUGACGUCCCCAGUACCAUAUAAACAAAGACGGUGACGUAAAGUGAUGACAUAAUUCUAAACAUCGAUUGCUUUAUAAAUAUUGCUUUAACAAGGAUGUUGGAGUCAUGUGAUGCAAAAUAUCGCGAAUGAAGUUUUCUUUAUAAAUAUCGGGUAAGGAAACGUGGUGUCAAAUACAAUUUAUAUCAACCCUUUAUUAGGAAUCACAUGAUAUGCCACGUGUAUAAUAUUGAUACCGUGGCCUGUACAAAAUAUCACAUGACAUCCAUCAAAUAUCAUAUAAUUAAAAUUACAUGACACGUAUAUACAUGUAAUAUUGACAUUGUGGCAUAUACAAAAUAUUACAUGACAUCCAUGUUUGAAGGUUUUACAAAUGUAUAAACAUAAGUCAAAUGAGUAAUUUAAUAUCAAAUAUCAUAUUCCUAUGAUACUGAAACCUUUACAAAGGAUGUUAGAGCCAGAUGAUGACUUAGACUUUUUCAGAUAUCGUAUGAAUACGAAUAAUGAAAUCACGUGAUACCACAUAAAACCGAGAUUGACGCAUCCACAAUCUCCUAUAAAUAUGGAUUCUGGAAUCACGUCAUGUGACAUCGACAUUAUAGCUGAUAUUCAUUAGAAUGCAUGUUUUAAUUCAUUCUUUCAUUUGUUCAGUUUAGUUAAUUGAAGAUAUACAGGCUACUCCGGAUAUAUUGAAAUUCAGGGGACAGACCUGAAUCGUUAUUCGUAUCCAAACUUCAAUAUAACCGUUGUGGGACUAUAUGAAUUGAAUUUAUUGUACUGGGAAUAUACAGAUAGUUCAAUAUAAUAUAGUUCGAUAUAAAUUGGUAGAUAUUUUGUGAUAUAAUAAAAUAAAACUCAUUGAUGUGCU